ensembl:lncRNA
GGGCAACUUGAUUUGAAUGAUUAAUGUAAUCAUCAAAGCUCAUAUCAGGUUGGCCCACAGCCCUACAUUCGAUAUCUACUGGCUCUUCACAGAUCUCUUUUCCAUUUUCAGCUAUGUUUUUAUAAGUCUCCAAGUCAUCCCAUCCUCCUACUGCAGGAUUAUAUACAUUAAACCAGUCAGACCACCAACAUAUCAUACAAAAUGUUGUAGUAGAGGAUUCUGUCAUAGUUGUCGGUGUAGGGGUAGAUGAUGUGGUAGGUCCUGGUGUUGUUGUAGUAGACGUUGUAGUAGUUGUCGGUGCAGGGGUAGAUGAUGUAGUAGGUUCUGGUGUUGUAGUAGUAUACAUUGUAGUAGUUGUCGGCGUAGCGGUAGAUGAUGUGGUAGGUUCUGGUGUUGUAGUAGACUUUGUUGUAGUUGUUGGUAUAGUAGAUGAUGUGGUAUGUUCUGGUGUUGUUGUAGUAGGUAUAGUAGUUGUCAGUGUUGGAGUAGAUGAUGUGGUAGGUUCUGGUGUUGUUGUAGUAGAUGUAGUAGUUGUCGGUGUAGGGGUAGAUGAUGUGGUAGGUUCUGGUGUUGUAGUAGUAGACUUUGUUGUGGUAGAUAAUGUGGUAGGUUCUGGUGAUGUUGUAGUAGAUGCUGUAGUAGUAGUCGGUGUAGGAGUAGAUGAUGUUGUAGGUUCUGGUGUUGUAGUAGGCUUUGUGGUAGUUGUCGGUGUAGGGGUAGAUGAUGUGGUAGGUUCUGGUGUUGUUGUAGUAGUCUUUGUUGUGGUAGAUGAUGUGGUAGGUUCUGGUGUUGUAGUAGACUUUGUUGUAGUUGUUGGUAUAGUAGAUGAUGUGGUAUGUUCUGGUGUUGUUGUAGUAGGUAUAGUAGUUGUCAGUGUUGGAGUAGAUGAUGUGGUAGGUUCUGGUGUUGUAGUAGUAGUUGUAGUAGUUGCUUUGUGGUAGUUGUCGGUGUAGGAGUAGAUGAUGUGGUAGGUUCUGGUGUUGUAGUAGACUUUGUGGUAGUUGUUGGUGUAGGAGUAGGUGAUGUGGUAGGUUCUGGUGUAGUUGGUGUACAUUCCUCCACACAGAUUUGAUUUUGCUCAUCAAAAAUAGGCUUAUCCUCUGGACAUUUUGGAUAACAACCUGUAUAAAACAAUAAAUAAAUACAUAUGUAAAUAUAGUUGCA